rnacentral:tRNA from 1 species
UAGGAUGUAGCUCAGUGUUAGAGCACUUGCCUAGCAUGUAUGAGGUCCUGGGUUCAGUCCCCAGCACUAG